rnacentral:miRNA from 1 species
UGAUUAGUUCUGAUAAUCUCAGCGAGUGAUGGGGAAUUUCCUCCAGGCUUUGGAAGCCAGCAAUCAAGCUCCUCUGAUUUUCCUUCCAUACACUCUCU